UGCGGGGUAGAGCAGAGGCAGCUCGUCGGGCUCAUAACCCGGAGGUCGUAGGUUCGAAUCCUACCCCCGCUA
rnacentral:tRNA from 1 species